AAGGGUCUAAGUGGGGUCGAAAUGGAGUUAUUCUUAAGGAACUAUGAUAAUCCUGGCUUAACACAUUGAUGUCUAGUCCACCCAUGGGUCCAGGCACAAUACGGACAAAAUAAAUGUUUGGGAGAGGAAAAAUCAUUAUAAAAUGAUGGUGCCUGCCAGGCAGGUGGAAGCUUGGGCUCAUAUGGAAAGUCCCUGACACACUUCCAAAGACACAGAUAGUAUGUACUUCCUUCCCUGAACCUCCUGGAUCUCAAGAAUAUGAAAUAUUACAGAAAGAAAGAAAAAAUUCUGGGAAUCAGGUAGUUCACCAAUACAUCUCACAGAAAAAAAAUGAACAAUUGCUCAAUGAAAUAAAAGAGUCAAAAAUCUCAUAAUAAAGAAUAAAUCUUUGGGCAAUUAAAAUACAAGUGGGAAUUUUAACUUACUGCUCUGGGACUGAACUCUCAUGGAAAACCUGAACCAACAAUCACAAUCGAGUAUUAAUUUAAGAUCUGUAUUCCUUGUACUUAUUCAUUCAGGAAACAUUGGAGGGUUAGGAUAACAUUGAUAACUUUACUAGACUGAAUUUCUGAGAUGUAAUUAAAUAAAAUAAUAAGAAAUU
rnacentral:lncRNA from 10 species